CCAAUAGCGUAUAUUAAAGUUGUUGCAGUUAAAAAGCUCGUAGUUGAAUUUCGGGGUUAGUAGGUUGGUCAUGCCUCUGGUAUGUACUGGUCUCACUGAUUCCUCCUUCCUGAUGAACCGUAAUGCCAUUAAUUUGGUGUUGCGGGGAAUUUGGACUGUUACUUUGAAAAAAUUAGAGUGUUUAAAGCAAGCUAACGCUUGAAUACAUUAGCAUGGAAUAAUGAAAUAGGACGUUCGAUCCUAUUUUGUUGGUUUCUAGGAUUGACGUAAUGAUUAAUAGGGAGAGUUGGGGGCAUUAGUAUUCAAUUGUCAGAGGUGAAAUUCUUGGAUUUAUUGAAGACUAACUACUGCGAAAGCAUUUGCCAAGGAUGUUUUCAUUAAUCAAGAACGAAAGUUAGGGGAUCGAAGACGAUCAGAUACCGUCGUAGUCUUAACCAUAAACUAUGCCGACUAGGGAUCGGAUGAUGUUAAUUUUUUAAUGACUCAUUCGGCGCCUUACG
rnacentral:misc_RNA from 1 species